rnacentral:tRNA from 1 species
UACUCAUUUUCUAAAAUCUGAUACAUUUUAUUAACAAUUUUUUUGUGUGAGUAU